rnacentral:rRNA from 1 species
AGGGCAAGUCUGGUGCCAGCAGCCGCGGUAAUUCCAGCUCCAAUAGCGUAUAUUAAAGUUGUUGCAGUUAAAAAGCUCGUAGUUGAAUUUCGGGGUUAGUAGGUUGGUCAUGCCUCAGGUAUGUACUGAUCUCACUGAUUCCUCCUUCCUGAUGAACCGUAAUGCCAUUAAUUUGGUGUUGCGGGGAAACUGGACUGUUACUUUGAAAAAAUUAGAGUGCUCCAGGCAGGCCUAUGCUCGAAUACAUUAGCAUGGAAUAAUAGAAUAGGACGUGUGGUUCUAUUUUGUUGGUUUCUGGGACCGCCGUAAUGAUUAAUAGGGACAGUCGGGGGCAUCAGUAUUCAAUUGUCAGAGGUGAAAUUCUUGGAUUUAUUGAAGACUAACUACUGCGAAAGCAUUUGCCAAGGAUGUUUUCAUUAAUCAGGAACGAAAGUUAGGGGAUCGAAGACGAUCAGAUACCGUCGUAGUCUUAACCAUAAACUAUGCCGACUAGGGAUCGGACGAUGUUACUUAUUGACUCGUUCGGCGCCUUACGGGAA